UGCUGUUUCUUUGUCAUUGAUGAUUGUUCGUGAGUUUGAUGCUGGUUGCUGACUCUUUUAUUUGAAUAUGAGUUCGUGAGUAAUUUGAAGAAUUAACGAAUUACUGUAGCAGAUUGUUGCUGCCCUUUUUGCUGGGGUCGGGUUUGCAAUGGUAUUAGCUGUUGGUAGUUGGUGCUGAUGAUGGCUGUCUAGUUGUGCUGCUGGUUUCUGUUGAUUCCAAAGCCGCCUGACAUAAUUCUUUUCUACAUUAAGCACUUGGUUU
rnacentral:lncRNA from 1 species